rnacentral:rRNA from 1 species
GAUGAACGCUGGCGGCGUGCCUAAUACAUGCAAGUCGAGCGAACGGACGAGAAGCUUGCUUCUCUGGUGUUAGCGGCGGACGGGUGAGUAACACGUGGAUAACCUACCUAUAAGACUGGGAUAACUUCGGAAAACCGGAGCUAAUACCGGAUAAUAUUUUGAACCGCAUGGUUCAAAAGUGAAAGACGGUCUUGCUGUCACUUAUAGAUGGAUCCGCGCUGCAUUAGCUAGUUGGUAAGGUAACGGCUUACCAAGGCAACGAUGCAUAGCCGACCUGAGAGGGUGAUCGGCCACACUGGAACUGAGACACGGUCCAGACUCCUACGGGAGGCAGCAGUAGGGAAUCUACCGCAAUGGGCGAAAGCCUGACGGAGCAACGCCGCGUGAGUGAUGAAGGUCUUCGGAUCGUAAAACUCUGUUAUUAGGGAAGAACAUAUGUGUAAGUAACUGUGCACAUCUUGACGGUACCUAAUCAGAAAGCCACGGCUAACUACGUG